AGGUCCCUGCCAUCAAGAAUCUUCAUUCUGGGGUUCUCCCUGUGGCUCUGCAGGUUAGAAACCCGACUGGUGUCCAUGAGGAUGUGGGUUCCAUCCCUGGCCCGGCUCAGUGGGUUAAGGAUCUGGCGUUGCCGUGAGCUGCAGUGUAGGUCACAGAUGUGGCUUGGAUCUGGCAUGGCUGUGGCUGUGGCACAGGCUGGCAGCUGCAGCUCUGAUUCGACCCCUAGCCUGGAAAAUAGACAUAUGCUGCGGGUGUUGCCCUAAAAAGAAUCUUCUUUCUCACCAUAGAAAUAGACACCUCCACAGAGAUGUGGAACACGGGGCGUUAGAUUUAACGAUGGAAGAUCCUCGGUAGGAAAUAGGAGGGGAGGGGUGUCAGGAAGACUCUUUGGAGGCGUUGGCCCCUGAAUAAAGAUUUUAGGCAUGAACAUGGAUGGAACUAGAGACUCUCAUACUAAGAGAAGUCAGUCAGAAAGAGAAAAAAAUACCACGAGAUAUCAUUUUUGUGGAAUCCAGUAUCUGGCACAAAUGACCCUUUCCACAGAAAAGAAACUCAUGGACUUGGAGAACAGACUUGGGGUUGCCGAGGGGGAGGGAGUGGGAUGGACUGGGAGUCCGGGGUUAAUAGAUGCAAACUACUGCAUUUGGAUGGAUAAGCAAUGAGAUGCUGCUGUAUAGCACUGGGAAUUUUAUCUAGUCACUUGUGAUGGGGCACGAUGGAGGAGAAUGUGAGAAAAAGAAUGUAUUUGUGUGUGUGACUGGGUCACUGCGCUGCACAGUAGAAAACUGAUGGCACCCUAAACCAACUAUAAUGGAAAAAAUAAAAAUCAUUAAAAAAAAAGAUUUUAGGCAUGAGUUGGAUUUACUUAGGUUGCAGGAGAGGAUAAGGUGAGGGAUGGGACAACUUGAAAACUGGCACAGGCAGGAGAGAGAACUCGAUGUGUCUGAGGACCUAAAAGGGGUUUGUUCUCGUUGGCUGAUGAAGCCUGAGCAGCGGGAGGCAGGCUGGCAGGCAGGGCAGGGAAAGGAGCACCUCUAGCGCCACUCCUGGGCAGUACCCUCCUGGGAGGGAGGAGCCAGGGAGGGCCACCUUCCGGGGGAGGUGGCUGCUUCUAGCGGCUGUGCUAUUGAGGGUGAAUUUGACAGGGAAGCAGGCGGUCAAGGAGGGAGCAAAUGCAAAGUUCUAGGGUGAGAUGGUGAAGAUCUGAGACAGGGCGGGAGCGAGUGGUGGCUCCGCGUUGACCACUGAGUUCUCAUCCCGUGGCUCAGUGGUUAAUGAACCCGACUAGUAUCCAUGAAGACGCGGGUUUGAUCUCUGGCCACGCUCAGUGGGUUAAGGAUCCGCAUUGCCAUGAGCUGUGGCGUAGGACGCAGACGUGGCUCAGAUCCCACGUGGCUGUGGCUGUGGCUGUGGUGUAGGCCAGCAGCUACAGCUCCGAUUAGACCCCUAGCCUGGGAACCUCCAUAUGCUGCAGGUGCGACCUUAAAGACAAGAAAAAAAAAGAAAAAAA
rnacentral:lncRNA from 1 species